rnacentral:rRNA from 1 species
GACGAACGCUGGCGGCGCGCCUAACACAUGCAAGUCGAACGAGAGAUGAGGAGCUUGCUCUUCAGAUCGAGUGGCGAACGGGUGAGCAACGCGUGAGGAACCUGCCUCAAAGAGGGGGACAACAGUUGGAAACGACUGCUAAUACCGCAUAAGCCCACGGCUCGGCAUCGAGCAGAGGGAAAAGGAGCAAUCCGCUUUGAGAUGGCCUCGCGUCCGAUUAGCUAGUUGGUGAGGUAACGGCCCACCAAGGCGACGAUCGGUAGCCGGACUGAGAGGUUGAACGGCCACAUUGGGACUGAGACACGGCCCAGACUCCUACGGGAGGCAGCAGUGGGGAAUAUUGCACAAUGGGGGAAACCCUGAUGCAGCGACGCCGCGUGGAGGAAGAAGGUCUUCGGAUUGUAAACUCCUGUUGUUGAGGAAGAUAAUGACGGUACUCAACAAGGAAGUGACGGCUAACUACGUGCCAGCAGCCGCGGUAAAACGUAGGUCACAAGCGUUGUCCGGAAUUACUGGGUGUAAAGGGAGCGCAGGCGGGAGAACAAGUUGGAAGUGAAAUCCAUGGGCUCAACCCAUGAACUGCUUUCAAAACUGUUUUUCUUGAGUAGUGCAGAGGUAGGCGGAAUUCCCGGUGUAGCGGUGGAACGCGUAGAUAUCGGGAGGAACACCAGUGGCGAAGGCGGCCUACUGGGCACCAACUGACGCUGAGGCUCGAAAGUGUGGGUAGCAAACAGGAUUAGAUACCCUGGUAGUCCACACCGUAAACGAUGAUUACUAGGUGUUGGAGGAUUGACCCCUUCAGUGCCGCAGUUAACACAAUAAGUAAUCCACCUGGGGAGUACGACCGCAAGGUUGAAACUCAAAGGAAUUGACGGGGGCCCGCACAAGCAGUGGAGUAUGUGGUUUAAUUCGACGCAACGUGAAGAACCUUACCAAGUCUUGACAUCCCUUGACGAACAUAGAAAUAUGUUUUCUCUUCGGAGCAAGGAGACAGGUGGCGCAUGGUUGUCGUCAGCUCGUGUCGUGAGAUGUUGGGUUAAGUCCCGCAACGAGCGCAACCCUUAUGGUCAGUUACUACGCAAGAGGACUCUGGCCAGACUGCCGUUGACAAAACGGAGGAAGGUGGGGAUGACGUCAAAUCAUCAUGCCCUUUAUGACUUGGGCUACACACGUACUACAAUGGCGUUAAACAAAGAGAAGCAAGACCGCGAGGUGGAGCAAAACUCAGAAACAACGUCCCAGUUCGGACUGCAGGCUGCAACUCGCCUGCACGAAGUCGGAAUUGCUAGUAAUCGUGGAUCAGCAUGCCACGGUGAAUACGUUCCCGGGCCU